ensembl:snRNA U1 U1 spliceosomal RNA
AUACUUACCUGGCAGGGGUGAUAUCAUGAUCACGAAGGUGGUUUUUCCAGGGUGAGGUUUAUCCGGAUGUGCUGACCCCUGCGAUUUCCCCAAAUGUGGGAAACUCGACUGCAUAAUUUGUGAUGGUGGGGGACUGCAUUGUGCUCUCUCCUA